GUGUCAGUGAAGUUACUGGAGUACAAUAGAGACCAGGACUGUAAGUGUGAUUGGACAUUAUGGGGAUGUGGCGAGUGUGACGUUUAUUUUCAAGUUUGUCUACAACCUUUGCUACCAAUACCAAAACAAAUGUGCUAUGGAAAUGAUGAAAACCAGAGAGUUGAUAACACACAUCACUUUUUAUUUUCUGACGCUUUGAGAGGCGCUGAUUUGUACACAUGGAGGAACAUCAAAGGGCAGCCCUCAUUUAGUAUACCAGUUUAUGUCUACGACUAUAGUACUGUCGGUGACAAUAAUGAUUUUGGAGUGACAGGUUACGUGUACAGAGGGAAUACAACUACAGGAUUGACAGUUACGACAACACCCGGAAGUAAA